AUUGAACGCUGGCGGCAGGCCUAACACAUGCAAGUCGAGCGGAGCGGCGGACGGGUGAGUAAUGCCUAGGAAUCUGCCUGGUCGUGGGGAAUAACGUCCGGUAACGGGCGCUAAUACCGCAUACUAUCAGAUGAGCCUGGGUCGGAUUAGCUAGUUGGUGGGGUAAAGGCCUACCAAGGUGACGAUCCGUAACUGGUCUGAGAGGAUGAUCAGUCACACUGGAACUGAGAUACGGUCCAGACUCCUACGGGAGGCAGGAGUGGGGAAUAGUGGACAAUGGGCGAAAGCGUGAUACAGCCAUGCCGCGAGUGUGAAGAAGGUCUUCGGAUUGUAAAGCACUUUAAGUUUGGAGGCGUUACCAACAGAAUAAGCACCGGCUAACUUCGUGCCAGCAGCCGCGGUAAUUC
rnacentral:rRNA from 1 species